rnacentral:rRNA from 1 species
AGUGAACGCUGGCGGUAGGCCUAACACAUGCAAGUCGAACGGCAGCACAGGAGAGCUUGCUCUCUGGGUGGCGAGUGGCGGACGGGUGAGGAAUACAUCGGAAUCUACUCUGUCGUGGGGGAUAACGUAGGGACACUUACGCUAAUACCGCAUACGACCUACGGGUGAAAGCAGGGGAUCUUCGGACCUUGCGCGAUUGAAUGAGCCGAUGUCGGAUUAGCUAGUUGGCGGGGUAAAGGCCCACCAAGGCGACGAUCCGUAGCUGGUCUGAGAGGAUGAUCAGCCACACUGGAACUGAGACACAGUCCAGACUCCUACGGGAGGCAGCAGUGGGGAAUAUUGGACAAUGGGCGCAAGCCUGAUCCAGCCAUACCGCGUGGGUGAAGAAGGCAUUCGGGUUGUAAAGCCCUUUUGUUGGGAAAGAAAGCCAGCUGGCUAAUACCCGGUUGGGAUGACGGUACCCAAAGAAUAAGCACCGGCUAACUUCGUGCCAGCAGCCGCCGUAA